CUACAGAGGGUGCGAGCGUUAAUCGGAAUUACUGGGCGUAAAGCGCGCGUAGGCGGCUACUUAAGUCAGAUGUGAAAUCCCCGGGCUCAACCUGGGAACUGCGUCUGAUACUGGGUAGCUAGAGUUUUGGAGAGGGAAGUAGAAUUUCAGGUGUAGCGGUGAAAUGCAUAGAGAUCUGAAGGAAUACCAGUGGCGAAGGCGACUUCCUGGCCAAAAACUGACGCUGAGGUGCGAAAGCGUGGGUAGCAAACGGGAUUAGAAACCCUAGUAGUCC
rnacentral:rRNA from 1 species